UCACGACACCCGUGUGGGCACAUCCUCUUGUGGGGUGUGUGUGCGGGGUGUGUGGGUCAGAGACAGAACCCUGCCCCCGGUGUUUGUGGGGGUGGGGUGAUAAUUGAAGAGUGUUGUUGUGAGUUUAGGUUUACGACACUGGUCGAGUACCCCUCCACAAGUCCCAGAGUGUUCUGGGGUGUGUGGUGGUGUGGGAAAGGGUGCUGGUGUUGUUCUAGAGUUACGGCGGUCAUAGCGUGGGGGAAACGCCCGGUCCCAUCCCGAACCCGGAAGCUAAGGCCCACUGCGCCGAUGGUACUGCACACUGGAGUGUGUGGGAGAGUAGGUCGCCGCCGGAC
rnacentral:rRNA from 1 species